CAGAAAAGGCCAUCUUUUGCUGCCUAGAAAACGGCUCUCAAGAUCAUACAACAACACAUGAUUGGAGCUGGCUGGUGACAGAUGGGAGCAGAACAGAUUGGGCAUCACUGCCCAGAGCAGUGAGGACAUGCUGGUAAGGAUAUCCUGCCGGGAGAAUCCAUGUUACACCCCACUGAGGUCACAGGGAGACCUCGGUCACUCCACAGACCUUUUUCACCACUCGUGAAUCCCUGAAGGUGCCGGAUCAAACUGUGGCAUCCUGUGGAAUCCCUGCUGAAAGACAAAACAAAGAGCUACCUGGAGGACCUCCAAGGCACUGGAUAAGAAGCAUCCUCUCAAACAAAGACAGCCAGGAGCCUGACCCUACUUCAUUUUUUCCUGCACACUGACACUGGCCGGCUUCAAACAUCAUGUCCAGCCCUGCACAGUUACACAAUGUAAUGUUGCCUGAUAUCCUGAAUUUGUGUUUUGGUGAGAAACAAAGGUGCAAUGUCUUUCUUUUGGGGAAUCCAUCAGUGUUCCUGCCAGCUCAUCCUCUCCCUAAUAUUGCCAGCUAGUAAGUGAUUAAUUGCCAUGAGCCAGACUAGCAAAAAUCAGAAGAUUUGACAGCAAUAGACACACACUUUU